rnacentral:rRNA from 1 species
UACCACAGCCAUAUCACCCUGCAGCCCAAGACUGGUUGCCCACUGAAGCUAAGCAGGGCUGAGCCUGGUCAGUACCUGGAUGGGAGACCUGUUGGGAAAACUAGGUUGCUGUUGGAA